rnacentral:lncRNA from 13 species
AAGAGUGUGUGUAUGUGUGAGAGAGAGGGGAGAGAGACACUUGUGUGUAUCAGCUGAGCGCAGCAGACGUCUUACGACACACCCGCGUGUAACGGUGAAUGCGCCGCCUUUGCGUACCAUCUGUAUUCGACCCGUGAAACGCUAUCUUAAUCGAUUUAUAUUUCAAAAUCUAAGCGUCUGCCAAAUUUUUGCCACAGGAAAAAUCGUCUUAGAAUUCGACCAGGAAUACGCCCCUUGAAGGAUAACGGGUUCUGAAUCACCCUGUAGAUGACAUAGUACUAUAAUGGUACUGGGCCACUUGCCUUAUAAAAUAUUGAAAGUUUAUUUUAUGUUACAAAUUAAAAGCAUACUUUUGAUGGAAAUGUUAGUGUCAAACUUUUGAAUUAGUUCUAACAUACGAUCGUAUACAAGGCUUUUUGCGUCGAUUGCCCACAUAAAAUCAAGAUGAUUGAAGAAUUUAUAUGGGACCUUCUCAGUAAGAAGAACGUUUGCUAUUCCAUAAUCAUAGUUUCGAAAGUCAUCUGCAACAAUCAAUAUCAAUUGUAUGUAUGUGUA